UCUAUUCUUAUUCUGAGAAGGAGCUUAUAUGCCACAAUCAGUUCUCUCUCUUUCUUGUUGGCUCUGGAGGCUUUGGUGGAAAACGGACAUCAGACAAAGUCAAGGUAGCUGUAGCCAUACCUAAUAGACCUCCUGAUGCUGUACUUACAGAUACCACCUCUCUUAAUCAGGCUGCUUUGUACCGCCUCAGUGGAGACUGGAAUCCCUUACACAUUGAUCCUAACUUUGCUAGUCUAGCAGGUUUUGAGAAGCCCAUAUUACAUGGAUUAUGUACAUUUGGAUUUUCUGCCAGGCAUGUUUUACAGCAGUUUGCAGAUAAUGAUGUAUCAAGAUUCAAGGCAAUUAAGGCUCGUUUUGCAAAACCAGUAUAUCCAGGACAAACUCUACAAACUGAGAUGUGGAAGGAAGGAAACAGAAUUCAUUUUCAAACCAAGGUCCAAGAAACUGGAGACAUUGUCAUUUCAAAUGCAUAUGUGGAUCUUGCACCAACAUCUGAUGCUUCAGCUAAGACACCCUCUGAGGGCGGGAAGCUUCAGAGUACCCUCGUAUUUGAGGAAAUAGGACGCCGCUUAAAGGAUAUUGGGCCUGAGGUGGUGAAGAAAGUAAAUGCUGUAUUUGAAUGGCAUAUAACCAAAGGUGGAAAUAUUGGGGCUAAGUGGACUAUUGACCUGAAAAGUGGUUCUGGAAAAGUGUACCAAGGCCCUGCAAAAGGUGCUGCUGAUACAACAAUCAUACUUUCAGAUGAAGAUUUCAUGGAGGUGGUCCUGGGCAAGCUUGACCCUCAGAAGGCAUUCUUUAGUGGCAGACUGAAGGCCAGAGGGAACAUCAUGCUGAGCCAGAAACUUCAGAUGAUUCUUAAAGACUAUGCCAAGCUCUGAAGGGCACACUACACUAUUAAUA
rnacentral:sRNA from 1 species